AUUUAUCAACCACGUGUGUGGAGCAUCUGGCUGUAGAAUUGUGAGUUGGUCGACCUGAAACCUUGUCAUUGUGGAGACAUUUUUAUGAUGCCUACUUUUCUUUCACUUUCUCAGUUUACCAUGCAACACACAAAUGAAGCUUGCUGUUAUCUUUGUGAUCAGUGAUAUUCAGUUUUAACUGAAACUAUGGACAACACAUAGUGCCACCUGAUGAGGAAUGUGUUAAGCAUUCUAAUAAGAGCCUAGAUUUGAAUAAGCUCACAUGGAUAAGUCAAGUGCACCACGGCUGGUCAGGUGUGAAAGACUGCGAAUCACGGUGACUGAUCACGGCACCUAGUAGCCGUAGUUGGAACUGGACAGUGACGCUGUGACACGUGGAAAUCGUGCACCUCAUACUCUGGACAUUAUUGCUACCAAGUUUGGUACUGACAAGAAACUCAGUGGGGUCCAGUCAGGCGUAAUCUUGUGAUUAUAUUCUGGAGGAUUCCUUUUCCUGCAACUGCCAAACACUUGGGUCCAGGAGCCAGUGAAAAAAUAAAAGACUGAGGAGGGGCAUGGGGUGCCUCUUCAAAUCCAUUGUGAUGAGGCGGAGAAAAACCUUUUCUUCUGAAGAAAAGAAGCCUGGUGCUAGAUAACGAUUAAGGAAGAUAUUUUGAAUAAAUGUAUUCUGAAUUGCGAGGAACCCAAAGAACCCUUACAAAUCAACAUAAAUACCCCAAUAAAAACCAAACCUAACAAACUAGACCCUCCAACUUUCCAACAAGGAGAAGAAAUUCUUGAAGAACA